rnacentral:rRNA from 1 species
GGAUGAACGCUGGCGGCGUGCCUACUACAUGCAAGUCGAGCGAACAGACGAGGAGCUUGCUCCUCUGACGUUAGCGGCGGACGGGUGAGUAACACGUGGAUGACCUACCUAUAAGACUGGGAUAACUUCGGGAAACCGGAGCUAAUACCGGAUAAUAUAUUGAACCGCAUGGUUCAAUAGUGAAAGACGGUUUUGCUGUCACUUAUAGAUGGAUCCGCGCCGCAUUAGCUAGUUGGUAAGGUAACGGCUUACCAAGGCAACGAUGCGUAGCCGACCUGAGAGGGUGAUCGGCCAAACUGGAACUGAGACACGGUCCAGACUCCUACGGGAGGCAGCAGUAGGGAAUCUUCCGCAAUGGGCGAAAGCCUGACGGAGCAACGCCGCGUGAGUGAUGAAGGUCUUCGGAUCGUAAAACUCUGUUAUUAGGGAAGAACAAAUGUGUAAGUAACUAUGCACGUCUUGACGGUACCUAAUCAGAAAGCCACGGCUAACUACGU